GGCCUCCCCCUGGUGCCUAGUAAGUACAGUCUUCCUCUCAGCAUUCGCCUCUUCUCCAUGGCUCCCUUAUGAAAUGUGAGGCUAGCUGCAGAGUUGGAAGGACAAAGGAACUGACUUCCUCAGACCUUUUAAAGUAAGGGUCUGUCCUCAGAGGCUGCACUUAUACUUUUGGCCACAAGGUGUAAUGAAAACACACAACAGCAACAACAACCUAAGGACUCCAGAGGAAGUCAAGCAAAUCAAAACACGGAGACAAGUGGAGCUGGUCAACAGUUGCCAACAGUUGCUCAAGUGUGAAGAGGAACAUGGAGGAGACAGAGAAGAGGAGGAGGGAGUGUGACCACAAGGCAGAGAUUGGAGUGAUGCAGUCACGAGUCAAGAAAUGCUGGUGAGCCGCGGAGCCUGGAAGAAUCCUUAGAGCCUCCAGGAGUGGGGCCUGCCACUAUCUUGAUUUCAGACUUAGAGAUUUCAGCACUGUGAGAGAACACGUCUCUGUUGUAAGCUACUGGGUUUGUGGCACAUCAUUAUGGCAGCCCUGGGAAACUGACUCAGAGCCAGUCUUAGUUCCACUCCUUAAUUCCUGUCCCCAUGUCUGUGGAAAGUGGGGAAGGCAGCACAUACAAUGGUCUCUGAUUUGAAGUGUAUAUCAGACUGUGUAAAACAGAACCCCAUCAUUUCAGGGUUGUCUCUCAGCGGGUGCUGUAAUGGAGUCUUCAGUAAGCCAGAUACCUCUCAAGUAUACCAGCUGGUUCCAGAGGAUGGAAGUAUGCAAUAAAAGCAGCAAUUUCGUGGGAAGAGUCCAUUUCUGCUUUUUUUGUUUUGUUUGUGUUUUGUUUUUUGCUGUGAGAUGACGCUGUUUCUCAGACAUCAUACUACACAGGAUGGCAUGAUGGUGGUAGGUGGGACAUUCUAUAAGCCCAUGGUUGGUGAUGGUGGGAGAAGCACUAAGGGCUAGAAAACAAAUCCAUAUCCAGAACAUAUGUCUAUUCCAGUGAAGGUGAAUCUCUGCCCUUUUAAAGAGAGAAGUUCAGUGGAAGAAAUCAAGAAGUAGGUGUGUCUACUUCUGUCUUAUGAAGAAGCUAGUCAGCAGUCUCAGCCAGUGUGGCUAGGGGGCUCCAGAUUGGACCCCCUUCUUUUAUGUGGUAUUGCUAUGAUGUUUGCUUCUUGUCUUAGGGUCCCUAUAAUAGUUUCCUAUUGAUGCUGUAACAAUUAAUACACGCUUAUUGACUUAAAAAGACAAAUUUAUUAUUGUACAUUUCUGUAAGAAGUUAAAAAUGAAAUCCACUGGGCUAAAAAUGAGAUCCAUGGUUUCAACCUCUCUCCACCUUAUUUCUUACUACUUUCUUUCACAUACCCUUUGUCUCAAUACACGGUUAUCCAGUUCUGGCCCCUUUAUAAUUUGUCACACUGUGCUCUCUUUUGAAGACCAUCCAUCCCUUGUGCCCACAUUCCAUGUAUCCCAAUCCUUCAUCCAUCUAAAUGCCCAAUUUGAAUGUCACAACCACCAACCCCCAGUUGAAAGGAAUCUUUCACUCCUCCCAGCUGCCAUUAAAAUCCUCUCUAGGCCCCUGACAUUACAUUUCUUGAGGGCAGGAACUAGACAUUGUUUGUAUCUUCAUGUCCCCCAAAGCAGGAUUGACAUGGAUAGUUGUGCAGAUUGUAUGUUGUGACCCUUUUACAUGGGAGGCACUUUAUCAAUAACUCCUAAUAAAUGAAUGACUGAGAGUUCUUUGAUGUUGGCAUUAUGUUCAGUUUCUAAUGUAAUGAACUCAGAUCUUAAGAUGCUGAAAAGUUGGAAGUCAGAACUUCCGGAGAAAUAGAAAGAAAGACAACACUAAAUAAGAUGUAAAUCCUUCACCAGAUGAUGAAGGGUCUUGACUCCCUUUUAAAAGAGAUCUGAUGAGAGCACACCUCCAUCCUUCACACACACACACACACACACACACACACACACACACCACAGUUUCUUUCUAACCUUGACUGCCGGGACCACUGUGUAGGGUCAUGAUAGUCAUGCACUUUUUUUUGUGUCUGUGACAGGCCUGAGCUUGGCCGCUUGGUUAUGCCUUUCCCUACUCCACCCCAUUCCCCACACCCCUGCCAGGAUCCCUUUACGUGAAUACAACUUACCAUUCAGUUCCUGUAGCCAAUACCAGGAAAACUGCUACUAGAAAUGACAUCCAAUGCCAACAACGUGAUUUCUUUUCAUGGGAACCUACCUGGCUUUGUGAAGAAAGAAUUAGAAUAUAUCUUAAUAACAAUAAUGCUUCAUUGCCAAGAAAUCGGAUUCUCAAUAGAUGGACUGUUUUUGAGCUGGACAGCUGCCUUGAAACACAGCUUGCUUAUUCAACAGAACUUUGUCCCUGGAUAGGUAUCACACUCAGCAGACGGGGACAACCUAGGUAGAUAACAAGCCAGUGCUUUCCAAAUGAAACCAGGUCCCCACCACUCUUGUUACCACUUAUGUAGCCAACUGAGAUGAGUAAACAAACCAAGACGUCCUGACAGGUAUGGGUGUCAAUUCAUAUCCAGAUGGCCUGAGCAGUUCCCCCACCUCACUGCUCUCUUACUGACCUGAGUGCCAGAAUUCAGAACACACCUACCCAGGCAGCCAGAACCCAGGAUGAGAGGCAAUAUUGCUUAGCAUCGCAGAUUAGCGGUGUUGCAGGUUACGGACUUGGGUUUGAAUUCUGAUC